CGCAACGUAACUGAAGUGAACAGAAAGUAAAGUGAACAGAAAGUGAUAAGAUCAAAUUAUGGUGCGGUCCAGCUCCAGUUUAAAACAUGAUGACCUGCUGAUUGGAGGCUAUGCAUUCGAGAAUGUGCAAAAAUUUACCUAUUUGGGUACCAAAAUUUCAAUCAAUAAGGAUAUUUCGUUGAAAAUUAGUGACAGAGUUUUAACAGCAAAUAAAUCUUCUUACUCUAAUUUGACGCAGCUUAAGUUCGGUCGUCGUAGCCGAAUGGGUUGGUGCGUGACUACAUUCGGAAUUCACAAAGAGAACGUAGGUUCAAAUCUCGGUGAAACACCAAAAUUAAGAAAAACAUUUUUCUAUUAGCGGUCGCCCUUCGGCAGGCAAUGGCAAACCUCUGAUUGUAUUUCUGCCUUUAGAAAGCUUCUCAUAAAAAUAUCUGCCGCAGUCGGCUUGAAAUUGUAGCUCCAUCCAUUUGUGGAACAACAUCAAACGUACACCACAAAUAGGAGGAGGAGCUCGGUCAAACUCCCAAAAAGGUUGUGCGCGCCACGAAACUGUUGAAGACUUUGCAAAGCUGCACGUGCGGCGGUGGAAGGAAGUAACCUUAGAUGGAGACGAGUAGCGAAAGGUUAUGAAUGAAGCAAUAGUUCACCAAGGACUGUGAUGCUAAGAAGAAGAAGAAGAAUCUAAGCACUGUUAUAAAUACAUAUAAGGUGACACAAAGUCGCUAGUCUAUGCCAAUGAACCGGUGUCAUCUGAGUAUAUGAAAGCCAACAGCCAAAUUAUUACCUCAGGUGCUUGGAAACGAGGUAAAAAGGAAAACUAAAUUAUUGAAAACACGGUACAGUUAGUGCACAAUCAAAUUUGCAUCCUAGUAUCAUAUGACCAAUUUCACGACCUGUAUUUCAAGGCACAAAUUCUCAAAAAAAUGAUUUCCUGCAGGUGCGGCAGAUGUGAGAAGAUACGCACAAGAAAUAAAUCACAGUCAUCCCUUAUGUGUACAGGUAAAAGUUGAGAGUCUGCAGAUUUGCGCAGCUGCAAUGUGCUGAAAACAAGUUUGAAAUUACGUUGCGCCGGCAGUUCGGCAAUUUUUUUUUUUAUUCUCUCAAAUUAAUUUUUUGUUUUCUUUCUUUAUGCAU